CUUCACCGAACCCAGCCACAGCGGACGGUCGUCCGGACGGUCCUGGCCGUACGUAGCAAGCAGGGCCUGCGCUUC
rnacentral:antisense_RNA from 1 species